rnacentral:tRNA from 1 species
GGGGACGUAGCUCAGCUGGGAGAGCGCCUGCUUUGCAAGCAGGGGGUCGUCGGUUCGAGUCCGAUCGUCUCCA